rnacentral:misc_RNA from 1 species
CUUUAUGUUAAUGGGCAGUUUAUGCAUGCAUCCAAAGAAAAUGGUCUAGUUUCAGAGAAGAAUUAACCAGCUACAAAACAAGACAAAAAUGGGUCACUACUAGCAACUCCCUUCCAAGAGGAUAGAAGAAAAUGCCCAGCACACAAAUUGCUCUCUCUUGAGCAUAAAAAAUGAACUCAACCUCAGUACCUAGCAGCCACAGCACAAGAACUGGGUGAGAGAGAGAUUACUCUAAAAUGCAAAAUUACACCCUAAUCAGUAAUUAAGUACACACCCAACACUGAUUAAUUAUGACUUUCUGUUUGGGUUAUUUUUUUGGGAUUAUUUGGAAUAAUCCAUUUGUAAGAUUCUUAUAUAAUUAUGCAUAAUUUUUAUUUGUUUUAAAUAAAUGAUUUUUUUAAUUAAAAAAAUUGAAAGAAUUGAUAAAUUGAUUCUUCCAAAAAUUAAAGUUUUUUUUUUCUCAACACGAAAUCAAAUGAUUUUUAUACAAACACUACACAUACAUCGCUACUUAAACCAAAUCAAAUCAAAUCAAAAUACACAGAAAUUCUACUCAUUCCAUGCUUCAAUCUUCUUCUUCUAAUCCUAAUUUUCUGCUUUUGAUCAAAUUUAGAUUCUGGACUAAUUGCCAAACAUCUUAACUACUAUCAAACAAGAAAGAAAGAUAAGAAAGCUAAGGCAAGAACCUAUUGGCGUCGUCUUCCCUCUCUUUCAGUCUAGCCUCCGUUUCAGCUCCGCCGCUCGAACUAGCCGGCAAACCGCCACACUUCUGACACCUGGCCACCACCAAAAUCUGACGGCAUGAUGGGCAGGAUGAGUGGGACCCUAGCCACAUGUCGACACAGUUCACGUGGAAUCCGUGACCACAAUGAGGCAAUACUCGGAUUUCGUCACCGGUUGAGAAUUCCGUCAAACAAAUUGAGCAAUCGGUGAAUUUGGCAGCAGAAUCGGGGGAGAAGGUCUGUUUAGGGAGGGACUGGAGGAUCUUCUUCUUCAGACCUUUGUUUGCAGCUGAAGGAAGGGGGAGCGGAGAUGGAUUCGGAGACCUGGAGUUGGCCGUGGAAGAAAGCCGUCUAAGCCAGGCGCAGCGCGCCACAGCGAUGAGUCCCAGAACGCAUAUAAGAGCGCAUAGAAGUGCAGCCAGUAUCACCAAGAAAUCUGAGUCCAACGUAGCCGGUUGUUCCGACGAUUCCAAAGUAGUGGUGGCAGUGCUCGCCGUCGAGUUUACGGCGUCAAGAAAUCUGUAAGGACGAGUCAUGUGAAGAGAGAGAGAGAGAG